GGGGACUUAGCUCAGUGGUAGAGCGCUUGCCUAGGAAGCGCAAGGCCCUGGGUUCGGUCCCCAGCUCCU
rnacentral:tRNA from 1 species